AUUGAACGCUGGCGGCAUGCUUUACACAUGCAAGUCGAACGGUAACAGGCCGCAAGGUGCUGACGAGUGGCGAACGGGUGAGUAAUGCAUCGGAACGUGCCCAGUCGUGGGGGAUAACUACUCGAAAGAGUAGCUAAUACCGCAUACGAUCUAUGGAUGAAAGCGGGGAACCGUAAGGCCUCGCGCGAUUGGAGCGGCCGAUGUCAGAUUAGGUAGUUGGUGGGGUAAAGGCUCACCAAGCCAACGAUCUGUAGCUGGUCUGAGAGGACGACCAGCCACACUGGGACUGAGACACGGCCCAGACUCCUACGGGAGGCAGCAGUGGGGAAUUUUGGACAAUGGGCGCAAGCCUGAUCCAGCAAUGCCGCGUGCAGGAAGAAGGCCUUCGGGUUGUAAACUGCUUUUGUACGGAACGAAACGGCUCUGGUUAAUACCCGGGGCUAAUGACGGUACCGUAAGAAUAAGCACCGGCUAACUACGUG
rnacentral:rRNA from 1 species